rnacentral:rRNA from 1 species
AUAUCAUUAAGAGGAGGAAAAGAAACUAACUAGGAUGCCUUUAGUAGCGGCGAGUGAAGUAGGCAAAGCUCAAUCUGAAAAUCAGCAGGGAGUAACAUUCCUUGCCGAAUUGUAGUUUGGUGGAAGAGUAUUUACUGGCUGGUGUGGGAUGAAGUGUAAGUCCCUUGGAAGAGGGCGCCAGAGAGGGUGACAGCCCCGUACAGGACCGCGGCAACGAGGAAGUCUGCCAGUGGCGUAUUGCCGUUUCGCCGAGUCGGGUUGUUUGGGAGUACAGCCCUAAAUGGGUGGUAGAUUUCAUCUAAAGCUAAAUACGGGCGGGAGACCGAUAGCGAACAAGU